CUCCUCAGGUACGGCUUGUAUGAUCACCUGACGGAGCUGCCACUGUCUGAAGGAGGCCCUGACGACGUGACAGGACGCGGCGGUGGCGGAGCUCUGAAGGUCAGCAGUCCAGGGGAGCGAGCAAGGUUCCGUCACGACCCUUACCCUCGCGUGCCCUCCUCAACCUAAACACACCACCACCACCAUCAAGGGUCCUCAACCUCCAGGAGCCGUCGUGAGGGAGGGAUGAAGGAGCUGCGCGCGCAAAG